rnacentral:piRNA from 1 species
CCCAUCAUGCAAGAGCUCAUACAGAA